AGAGUUUGAUCCUGGCUCAGAAAAAACGCUGGCGGUAUGCUUAACACAUGCAAGUCGAACGGUAACAUGAAAAAGCUUGCUUUUUUGAUGACGAGUGGCGGACGGGUGAGUAACACGUAGGAAUCUACCGAGUAGCGGGGGAUAGCCCGGAGAAAUCCGGAUUAAUACCGCAUGUGCACUUCGGUGUAAAGAGGGCCUCUUCUUGAAAGCUCUCACUAUUCGAUGAGCCUGCGUCAGAUUAGCUUGUUGGUGGGGUAAUGGCCUACCAAGGCGACGAUCUGUAGCUGGUCUGAGAGGAUGAUCAGCCACACUGGGACUGAGACACGGCCCAGACUCCUACGGGAGGCAGCAGUGGGGAAUAUUGGACAAUGGGCGCAAGCCUGAUCCAGCAAUACCGCGUGUGUGAAGAAGGCCUUCGGGUUGUAAAGCACUUUCAAUAGGGAGGAAGGCUUGAUGGUUAAUACCCAUUGAGAUUGACGUUACCUAUAGAAGAAGCACCGGCUAACUCCGUGCCAGCAGCCGCGGUAAUACGGAGGGUGCAAGUGUUAAUCGGAAUUACUGGGCGUAAAGCGCGCGUAGGCGGAUGAUUAAGUCAGAUGUGAAAGCCCCGGGCUCAACCUGGGAACUGCAUUUGAGACUGGUCGUCUAGAGUACAGAAGAGGGGGGUGGAAAUUCCAGGUGUAGCGGUGAAAUGCGUAGAGAUCUGGAGGAACAUCAGUGGCGAAGGCGACCCCCUGGCUGAUACUGACGCUGAGUGCGAAAGCGUGGGUAGCGACAGGAUUAGAUACCCUGUAGUCCACGCCGUAAACGAUGUCUAUUCAGCUGUUGGGUAUAUUAAGA
rnacentral:rRNA from 1 species